UUUUGGACAAUGGGGGCAACCCUGAUCCAGCCAUGCCGCGUGAGUGAAGAAGGCCUUCGGGUUGUAAAGCUCUUUCGGACCCCCCCGACAUGGGCGGGACUAAUACUCCUGUCUGAUGACGGUACCGUAAGAAGAAGCACCGGCUAACUACGUGCCAGCAGCCGCGGUAAUACGCAGGGUGCGAGCGUUAAUCGGAAUUACUGGGCGUAAAGCGUGCGCAGGCGGUUUCGUAAGCUGGAGGUGAAAUCCCCGGGCUUAACCUGGGAAUGGCCUUCAGGACUGCGAGGCUAGAGUGCGGCAGAGGGAGGUGGAAUUCCACGUGUAGCAGUGAAAUGCGUAGAGAUGUGGAGGAACACCGAUGGCGAAGGCAGCCUCCUGAGCCAGCACUGACGCUCAUGCACGAAG
rnacentral:rRNA from 1 species